rnacentral:rRNA from 1 species
AUUGAACGCUGGCGGCAGGCUUAACACAUGCAAGUCGAGCGGGGUGAUGGUGCUUGCACUAUCACUUAGCGGCGGACGGGUGAGUAAUGCUUAGGAAUCUGCCUAUUAGUGGGGGACGACAUCUCGAAAGGGACGCUAAUACCGCAUACGUCCUACGGGAGAAAGCAGGGGAUCACUUGUGACCUUGCGCUAAUAGAUGAGCCUAAGUCGGAUUAGCUAGUUGGUGGGGUAAAGGCCUACAAAGGCGACGAUCUGUAGCGGGUCUGAGAGGAUGAUCCGCCACACUGGGACUGAGACACGGCCCAGACUCCUACGGGAGGCAGCAGUGGGGAAUAUUGGACAAUGGGGGGAACCCUGAUCCAGCCAUGCCGCGUGUGUGAAGAAGGCCUUAUGGUUGUAAAGCACUUUAAGCGAGGAGGAGGCUCUUUUGGUUAAUACCCAAGAUGAGUGGACGUUACUCGCAGAAUAAGCACCGGCUAACUCUGUGCCAGCCGCCGCAGUAA